AGUAGUGCAUUAGGUUUAAACUCUAAAAAUGAUAUUUAAGUAUCCUAUAUUA
rnacentral:tRNA from 1 species